rnacentral:rRNA from 1 species
AGUGAACGCUGGCGGUAGGCCUAACACAUGCAAGUCGAACGGCAGCACAGUAAGAGCUUGCUCUUACGGGUGGCGAGUGGCGGACGGGUGAGGAAUACAUCGGAAUCUACUUUUUCGUGGGGGAUAACGUAGGGAAACCUACGCUAAUACCGCAUACGACCUACGGGUGAAAGCAGGGGAUCUUCGGACCUUGCGCGAUUGAAUGAGCCGAUGUCGGAUUAGCUAGUUGGCGGGGUAAAGGCCCACCAAGGCGACGAUCCGUAGCUGGUCUGAGAGGAUGAUCAGCCACACUGGAACUGAGACACGGUCCAGACUCCUACGGGAGGCAGCAGUGGGGAAUAUUGGCCAAUGGGCGCAAGCCUGAUCCAGCCAUACCGCGUGGGUGGAGAAGGCCUUCGGGUUGUAAAGCCCUUUUGUUGGGAAAGAAAAGCAGCAGGUUAAUACCCCGCUGUUCUGACGGUACCCAAAGAAUAAGCACCGGCUAACUUCGUG